UAAGCAUUUCACUGUAAAGUCUACAUUGUUGGUUAAGGGCUUGUAAGUAAGCAUUUCACUGUAAAGUCUACAUUGUUGGUUAAGGGCUUGUAAGUAAGCAUUUCACUGUAAGGUCUACAUUGUUGGUUAAGGGCUUGUAAGUAAGCAUUUCACUGUAAAGUCUACAUUGUUGGUUAAGGGCUUGUAAGGAAGCAUUUCACU